rnacentral:rRNA from 1 species
GAUGAACGCUGGCGGCGUGCCUAAUACAUGCAAGUCGAGCGAACAGACGAGGAGCUUGCUCCUCUGACGUUAGCGGCGGACGGUUGAGUAACACGUGGAUAACCUACCUAUAAGACUGGGAUAACUUCGGGAAACCGGAGCUAAUACCGGAUAAUAUAUUGAACCGCAUGGUGCAAUAGUGAAAGACGGUUUUGCUUUCACUUAUAGAUGGCUCCGCGCCGCAUUAGCUAGUUGGUAAGGUAACGGCUUACCAAGGCAACGAUGCGUAGCCGACCUGAGAGAGUGAUCGGCCAAAGUGGAACUGAUACACGGUCCAGACUCCUACGGGAGGCAGCAUUAGGGAAUCUUCCGCAAUGGGCGAAAGCCUGACGGAGCAACGCCGCGUGAGUGAUGAAGGUCUUCGGAUCGUAAAACUCUGUUAUUAGGGAAGAACAAAUGUGUAAGUAACUAUGCACGUUUUGACGGUACCUAAUCAGAAAGCCACGGCUAACUACGUG